GGUUUUUGUCUCCCACCAUAAGACUCCUUGCUUGGUGGACUGAACCGACAAAGUCAAGAUUGGAUCAGGACAUGUCACACAAAAGUUUGUGUGGUCAAUCAACCACCCUCAUGGAAAAGACAUGGAAAUCGCAGUGAGCAAACUAAGGUCAGGAUGGAGACAGCAUGGAGCCCCAUUGAUAUCACCGCAGUCAGCCCCGUGGCUGGCCUGCCGUGCUUAAAGAGUUAAGUCUGGACGGGAUGGAGCCAGGGAGGUGCAGAGCUGACCUGAGGCGGCUCCUGGCUAAGCUCCUGUGACCGGCCUGGGUGGUUCCCAGUCUAGGACACCCGGAAGUGC